rnacentral:misc_RNA from 1 species
UUCUCUCUCUACAAUUUUUCAAUGGUGUGUUUAUAUAUAUAGAGAUUCACUUCUACAUAUAUGUAUAGAUUGCAAAAAAAUAGUGAUUUUGAAGUUUCAAUGAAGAUGAUUAUGGUUAUUGAAGCGAUUAGUGCAAGUAGAUUCUGCGAUUUCUCUUAUUCGUCUGCUGCUGCUGCUGGUGUGUUCUCAACUUCGAAGGAGUGUUGAAGAAGAAAUCUGUUUCGAGGCUUUGUUGUUGUGGAUCUGGUUAAGCAACUAUAGCUGUUGGAUUUUUGCUUGAUUUCUGUUGACUGAAGCAUGUGCACUGGCCCAGAAAGACCCAACCAAUCUGUUACUGAUUCUACAUCUAGUAUGAAGGGUAUUACUAAACUCACCGUUGAGACUGAAGAUUCUUUUUCUAGUUUGCUUGAACUUGCUGCAAACAACGAUCUCGAAGGUUUUAAAAGAUCUGUUGAGCUCGAUGCUUCUGCUAUUGAUGAGGUGGGGCUAUGGUUGGUUCGCAAGAAAGGUGCAAAGCAGAUUGUUAAUGAGGAGAGGACUCCUUUAAUGGUAGCUGCCACUUAUGGAAGUUUAGAUGUUUUGAAGUUGAUUAUCUCUAAUCCUGUGGUUGACGUUAACCGUGCUUGUGGUCCAAACAAGUGGACUGCUCUUCACUGUGCAGCCUCUAGUGGUUCUGUCAAUGUUAUUGAUGCAGUUAAGUUGCUACUGUCAGCUGGUGGUGAUCCUAAUGUUGAGGAUGCUAAUGGCCAGCGGCCAGCUGAUGUGAUUGUUGUUCCACCAAAGCUUCCUGGUACUAGAGCUUCUCUUGAAAAACUGCUUCUGAAUAAUUCAUCUGAUGGCUCAGUUGGUGACUGCAAAUUGACAGUAUCUGUGGCUACUUCAGAUGCAUCCUCUCCCAUUCUCUCCUCAUCACCAGAAAAUGGAUCUCCUUGUUCAUCAUUGGAGUCCUCGUCUUCCCCUAUGGCAUCGAAGUUCAGUGACCUCCCUGCUAAUUCUGCACGAGAGAAAAAAGAGUAUCCAAUAGAUCCGUCUCUCCCUGACAUCCAGAAUAGUAUAUAUUCAACGGAUGAGUUCCGCAUGUUCUCUUUUAAGGUUCGGCCAUGUUCUAGGGCCUAUUCACAUGACUGGACAGAGUGCCCAUUUGUCCACCCUGGAGAGAACGCUCGUAGAAGAGAUCCAAGGAAGUACCACUAUAGCUGUGUGCCUUGUCCUGAAUUUCGCAAGGGUGCAUGCCGACGCGGUGAUAUGUGCGAAUAUGCUCAUGGGGUGUUUGAGUGCUGGCUACACCCUGCUCAGUAUCGUACCCGCCUGUGCAAGGAUGGUACAAGCUGUGCUAGACGAAUCUGCUUUUUUGCCCAUACUACGGAGGAGCUUAGGCCCUUGUAUGUCUCUACUGGAUCUGCAGUCCCAUCUCCUCGGUCAGCUGCUUCUGCAGCUAGUGUGAUGGACAUGGCUGCAGCGCUGAACCUUUUUCCUGGUUCACCCUCAGCACACUCUGUGAUGUCUCCUUCUGCAUUUAAUCAACCCAUGUCCCCCACUGCCAAUGGAAUGUCUCAUCCAUCUGCACCAUGGCCGCAACCAAAUGUCCCAACUCUUCAUCUACCUGGAAGCAAUCUGCAGUCUAGCCGUCUGAGGUCUUCCCUUAGUGCACGAGACAUUCCGCCUGAGGAUUUUAACAUGUUGCAGGAUUUUGAUGCCCAGCAACUAGUUCUCAAUGACAUGGCUUGCUAUUCACAGCCACGUCCUAAUUCUGCCACUUUGAACCGAUCUGGUCGGUCCAAGACACUAACUCCUUCGAAUCUUGAAGAGCUUUUUUCUGCUGAGAUGAACUCUUCUCCAAGAUAUUCUGAUCAGGCAGCGGCUUGUGGUGUUUUUUCGCCAUCACACAAGUCGGCUUACUUUAAUCAGUUCCAACACCAACAGAACAUGCUUUCACCAAUUAAUACUAACGUUUUUUCCCCGAAAAACAUUGAGCACCCUCUUUUGCAGGCUUCUUUUGGUGUUUCCUCACCUGGAAGGAUGUCCCCAAGAAGCAUGGAGCCUAUUUCCCCUAUGAGUGCUCGCCUUUCAGCAUUUGCUCAUCGUGAGAAGCAACAGCUGCGAAGCCUCAGCUCCCGUGAUCUUGGAUCCAAUAAUGCUCCCCUUGUUGGAUCCCCUGUAGGCAACUCUUGGUCGAAUUGGGGGUCUCCCAAUGAGAAGGUUGACUGGUCUGUGAAUGGAAGUGGACUCCGACAGCUGCCCAGAUCAUCUUCUAUUGAGCAGCUCAACCCUGGAGAAGAGCCUGACCUAUCAUGGGUGCAAUCUCUUGUGAAGGAAUCUCCAACCGAGAUAAAAGAGAAGCAGGCCGCUCCUAAUUCAGUUGCUGCACCAUCCGGUGAGAGUUUGAAAACCAGUUCCCAAAUUGAUUCCGUUGAUAAUUCCGUUUUAGGAGCUUGGCUUGAGCAGAUGCAACUUG